rnacentral:rRNA from 1 species
CCAGACUUGACAUACAGGAGACGAUAUCAGAGAUGAUAUUUUCCGCAAGGACUGCUGUACAGGUGCUGCAUGGCUGUCGUCAGCUCGUGCCGUGAGGUGUUGGGUUAAGUCCCGCAACGAGCGCAACCCUUAUCAUUAGUUGCCAACGAGUAAUGUCGGGGACUCUAGUGAGACUGCCUGGGUUAACCAGGAGGAAGGUGAGGAUGACGUCAAGUCAGCAUGGCCUUUAUGUCUGGGGCUACACACGUGCUACAAUGGUCGGUACAGAAGGCAGCGAAGUCGUGAGAUGGAGCAAAUCCCCAAAGCCGACCUCAGUUCAGAUUGUAGUCUGCAACUCGACUACAUGAAGUUGGAAUUGCUAGUAAUGGCGUGUCAGCUACAACGCCGUGAAUACGUUCCC